rnacentral:rRNA from 1 species
GAUGAACGCUGGCGGCGUGCCUAAUACAUGCAAGUCGAGCGAACGGAUGAGAAGCUUGCUUCUCUGAUGUUAGCGGCGGACGGGUGAGUAACACGUGGAUAACCUACCUAUAAGACUGGGAUAACUUCGGGAAACCGGCGCUAAUACCGGAUAAUAUUUUGAACCGCAUGGUUCAAAAGUGAAAGACGGUCUUGCUGUCACUUAUAGAUGGAUCCGCGCUGCAUUAGCUAGUUGGUAAGGUAACGGCUUACCAAGGCAACGAUGCAUAGCCGACCUGAGAGGGUGAUCGGCCACACUGGAACUGAGACACGGUCCAGACUCCUACGGGAGGCAGCAGUAGGGAAUCUUCCGCAAUGGGCGAAAGCCUGACGGAGCAACGCCGCGUGAGUGAUGAAGGUCUUCGGAUCGUAAAACUCUGUUAUUAGGGAAGAACAUAUGUGUAAGUAACUGUGCACAUCUUGACGGUACCUAAUCAGAAAGCCACGGCUAACUACGUG